GCGGGUGUAGCUCAGUUGGUAGAGCGACAGCCUUCCAAGCUGUAAGUCGUCAGUUCGAACCUGAUCACCCGCUCCA
rnacentral:tRNA from 1 species